rnacentral:rRNA from 1 species
CCUACGGGUGGCAGCAGUGGGGAAUAUUGGGCAAUGGGCGCAAGCCUGACCCAGCAACACCGCGUGAAGGAAGAAGGCUUUCGGGUUGUAAACUUCUUUUGUCAGGGACGAAGCAAGUGACGGUACCUGACGAAUAAGCCAAGGCUAACUACGUGCCAGCCGCCGCGGUAAUCCGUAGGUGGAACGCGUUAACCGGAUUUACUGGGUGUAAAGGUCGUGUAGGCGGGGAGGCAAGUCAGAUGUGAAAGCCCCGGGCUCAACCUGGGGCCUGCAUUUGAAUCUGUUUUGCUAGAGUGCUGGAGAGGCGAGCGGAAUUCCAUGUGUAGCGGUGAAAUGCGUAGAGAUACGGAGGAACACCAGUGGCGAAGGCGGAUUGCUGGACAGGAACUGACGCUGAGGCGCGAAAGCGUGGGGAGCAAACAGGAUUAGAUACCCUAGUAGUC